CAUAUGCGGUAGGUGUGGCCAUAAGUCAAUCAAUCAAUAAAUAUUUAUUGACAUAGUUGGUUUACAAGAAACCCCUCGUUUUUAGAAGCAGAGUACCCUGGUGGCUCAGCAGGCUCUGGUCAUGGCUGAGGCUGGAGUUGGAUUCCUGGUGGGUAUGGCCCAAGAAAAUAAGAAAUGGAGACUGAGGCCCAGGCUUUUGGAGAUGGGCAGGGAUCUGUCCCCGAGCACUCCUGGGCCAAGGGUCUUGUGGGGGAUGGCUACCCACGACCUGUGACAGCCCCUCCCCUCUCCCAUCAGCAGGAGGCCAUCACCCUUUGGACGGAUGGAGGCCCCUCCUCGGAGGCCCCGCUGCUCCUGCUCCCAGAGCUGGCAGCUUCCCACCCCCGGCCACUCUCCUCCUCCAGAGCCGGGACUGGCUGGCUCCUGCCAAGACCGCCCACAGCCUGGCAGGCCGGGUGGGGGAGCACACACAUGCCCCCAGCCCAGCCUCAAGUUUCCUUUAGGUUCUAGGCGGUCUUCCUGGGAGAAACUGAGGUUCGGGGGGAGUCAGGGUCCCCCAGGGCCCCCCCCACCCCACGAGGUUCCGCGGGAGUUUCCAGACACACUUUGGAGGCUGGACCUCAGCGGGGUCUCCCCACCCCCUCUUUUCAGCUGUGAGAGUGGUGAAGGGGGGGCUGCUGGGCCUGGAGCCAUGGCUGGGGGUGGGGAAGGGGAGUUGGCAGGGGUCCGGGCAGGAGGCCUGGCUGGAGAGAGACCGGGCCCCUCCUGGUGCUCCCUCCUGCCUGCCUCGCCCCACUCCUCAGCCCCCCAUCCAUACCCGUGAUUGUCCCCGCAGCUCGGAGGGGCCCUGGGGCCCAGAGGGGCUGCCCAGGAGACCCUCUCUACGCCCCCCCUCCCCACCCUGGGAUGCACAGAGGAGGGUCUUAAGCUUUGCCCCCUCGGCUUUGCCCUGGGGGCCUGUCUGGGUGGUGUCUGACUUCCGAGUGAGGGAGGCCGCAAGUUUUCGAGGGUGGAGCAUUUUGCUGCCCUUGCUAAAGAUGGCCUGGGUGGUGUGUGUCACCUCACAGGCUCAAAGUUAGGCCUGUUUGUGGGUUGAGCAUGACAACUGCAAAGGGCAGAUUCGUGUGUGUGUGUGUGUGUGUGUGUGUGUGUGUGUGUGUGUGGUGGGGGCUGUGGGCUGGGCUGUGUCCCUAGGGGAUCGCCCGCUGUCAUGGACUUGCACUUAGGCGCUGGGAUCGCCAGAGCUGCCCCCCUCGCCCCCCCCACCCCCAUCCCAGACGUGCCCCUGCCCCUCCAUCAGCUCGUCUGAAAUACCUCUGAGCAUCUACUGAAUAGAGUGUAGGUUCCCCCGAUGGACGGGCCACCCCCAAGCCUGGAAAACGGACACCGCUCAACCUGUCCGACGGGCAGCUUCCUCACCUGCAGGGCAGACUUUCUGGACCUUGAUCCCUUUAAGUCCCGGGAGGCUUGUCAGGCUCUCUCAACUGUGUCCCAAGUGCCAGAGCAGCAGUCAGAGGCCCUGCUGGAUGGAUGGACGGAGGGCCCCAAGCUCAGGACCCAGGCUCCGUCACUCACUCAUCCCCACAGCUCCGACAACUGCACCCGGGCUGGAGGCUGGGAAACUGAGGCUCACCAGCUGAAAACCUUGCCCAGGGCCCAGGGCAACAUCUAACUCUCAGACGCCCAAGGGACUUGGCCUCCCUGGACUCCCUCCUCCUUUUAAACAAAAAAAGAAAUUCCUAUUUUACUGCUACAUCAGUAUAAAGAAGAAUAUAGUAAGAAA